GAUGAACGCUGGCGGCGUGCCUAAUACAUGCAAGUCGAGCGAACAGACGAGGAGCUUGCUCCUCUGACGUUAGCGGCGGACGGGUGAGUAACACGUGGAUAACCUACCUAUAAGACUGGGAUAACUUCGGGAAACCGGAGCUAAUACCGGAUAACAUGUUGAACCGCAUGGUUCAACAGCGAAAGACGGUCUUGCUGUCACUUAUAGAUGGAUCCGCGCCGCAUUAGCUAGUUGGUAAGGUAACGGCUUACCAAGGCAACGAUGCGUAGCCGACCUGAGAGGGUGAUCGGCCACAAUGGAACUGAGACAAGGUCCAGACUCCUAAGGGAGGCAGCAGUAGGGAAUCUUCCGCAAUGGGCGAAAGCCUGACGGAGCAACGCCGCGUGAGUGAAGAAGGUCUUCGGAUCGUAAAACUCUGUUAUUAGGGAAGAACAAAUGUGUAAGUAACUAUGCACGUCUUGACGGUACCUAAUCAGAAAGCCACGGCUAACUACGUG
rnacentral:rRNA from 1 species